rnacentral:tRNA from 1 species
AUUUAAGUAGUUUAAUUUGAAAAUUUUAAUUUGUGGAGUUAGCGUUAUAGUGUUAUCUAUCUUAAAUA